rnacentral:rRNA from 1 species
GAUGAACGCUGGCGGUCUGCUUAACACAUGCAAGUCGAACGAACUCUUCGGAGUGAGUGGCGGACGGGUGAGUAACGCGUGAGAAUCUGGCUUCAUCAGGGGGAAAGUCACUGGAAACGGUGAAUAAUCCCGCAUACAACUCUUAGAUGGCAUCAUCAAAAGAGUAAAAGUUCCGGCGGAUGAAGAUGAGUGUGCGUCUGAUUAGCUAGAUGGUGAGGUAACGGCUCACCAUGGCGACGAUCAGUAGGGGGCGUGAGAGCGUGAUCCCCCACACGGGUACUGAGACACGGACCCGACUCCUACGGGAGGCAGCAGUAAGGAAUAUUGGGCAAUGGACGGAAGUCUGA